UACAGACUUUAUGAAAUUGUGUCAAGUUGCCAAACACCUCGCCCGUAAGGGAGUGACGCAUAUGAUAUUGUCCCUAUCAUAUAAUUUUUGAUAUAAAGACUUUUAAGAAUUGUAUCAAGUUGCCAAACACCUCGUCAUCAAUUUAGUGACGCAUAUGAUAUUGUCCCUAUCAUAUAAUUAAUAUAAAGACUUUAAUGGAUUGUGUCAAGUUGCCAAACACCUCGUCAUCAAUUUAGUGACGCAUAUGAUAUUGUCCUUAUCAUAUAAUUUUUGAUAUAAAGACUUUAAAGAAUUGUAUCAAGUUGCCAAACACCUCGUCAUCAAUUUAGUGACGCAUAUGAUAUUGUCCCUAUCAUAUAAUUAAUAUACAGACUUUAAUGAAUUGUGUCAAGUUGCCAAACACCUCGUCAUCAAUUUAGUGACGCAUAUGAUAUUGUUUGUUAUAUAAUCGCAAACAAAUUCUUUAAUAAAACGAUGCAUUUAUGUAUUUUUGAUUUGAAAAUUUGGUAUAACUCCAAUUACUCAGGUAUGAUCCAAUUCAAGGACAUUGCCAGGUAGGGAGUUUGACUGGGGCGGUACAUCUCUCAAAUAAUAACGGAGGUGUCCCAAGGCCAGCUCAGUGCGGACAGAAACCACACAUAGAGCAAAAGGGCAAAUGCUGACUUGAUCUCGGUGUUCAGUACACACAGGGACAGCAAAAGCUCGGCCUAUCGAUCCUUUUGGUUUAAAGAGUUUUUAACAAGAGGUGUCAGAAAAGUUACCAUAGGGAUAACUGGCUUGUGGCGGCCAAGCGUUCAUAGCGACGUCGCUUUUUGAUCCUUCGAUGUCGGCUCUUCCUAUCAUUGUGAAGCAAAAUUCACCAAGCGUUGGAUUGUUCACCCAUGCAAGGGAACGUGAGCUGGGUUUAGACCGUCGUGAGACAGGUUAGUUUUACCCUACUAAUGACAAAACGUUGUUGCGACAGCAUUCCUGCGUAGUACGAGAGGAACCGCAGGUACGGACCAAUGGCACAAUACUUGUUCGAGCGAACAGUGGUAUGACGCUACGUCCGUUGGAUUAUGCCUGAACGCCUCUAAGGUCGUAUCCGUGCUGGGACUGCAAUGAUAAAUAAGGGGCAAUUUGCAUUGUAUGGGCUUCUAAACCAUUUAAAGUUUAUAAUUUAUUUUAUAAACGACAAUGGAUGUGAUGCCAAUGUAAUUUGUAACAUAGUAAAUUAGGAGGAUCUUCGAUCACCCUGAUGCCGCGCUAGUUACAUAUAAAAGCAUUAUUUAAUACAAUGACAAAGCCUAGAAUCAAUUGUAAACGACUUUUGUAACAGGCAAGGUGUUGUAAGUGGUUGAGCAGCUGCCAUACUGCGAUCCACUGAAGCUUAUCCUUUGCUUGAUGAUUCGA
rnacentral:ncRNA from 1 species